CAUAAUGGCGGGUCGUUUGCGCGCUAAGGUGUGACUGCUGUUCCUGUUUGGCAAUUACGUUCAGUGAUUCUAAUUUCGUGCACAAUGGACCUUUGAUGGCAUACUGCGGAAAAGGGCAAUAGCAAUUCCGCAAGAGCAGUAAUUGAUUUCGGUUGAUUGCUUUUUUCAGGCGGUUCCGUUGAAAAAUUUAAGUUUAAAAAUAGUUGCCGCUAAGCAGUGUAGUGAACUUUAAUGUAAAACGCUUUGGGCGUCUAAAGGUGGUUCACUUAAAAUUGACAAAACAGCAAUUUCAUCAAUAUACAGCCACCUUGAAGGAUUUGCUCCGGAUAGCAAUGACCUAAAUCCUCGACCAAAGUAAAUCGACAAACACUAUUCACACCUUUGGCCAAACAAGCAGGCGUCAAUGUGAAAGAUAUCAUCACCAUCUCCCCCGCACCGGGCGGCCCACGGCGGCAAUGCGUGUUUGAGCGUGUUUAUUUUCAUACUCAACCGGAUACUACACCGAUCCGAAAG